rnacentral:rRNA from 1 species
CUCGCGUGUCAGAGUUUGAUCAUGGCUCAGAACGAACGCUGGCGGCAGGCUUAACACAUGCAAGUCGAGCGCCCCGCAAGGGGAGCGGCAGACGGGUGAGUAACGCGUGGGAAUCUACCCAUCUCUACGGAACAACUCCGGGAAACUGGAGCUAAUACCGUAUACGUCCUCGGAGGAAGAAUUAUCGAGAUGGAUGAGCCCGCGUUGGAUUAGCUAGUUGGUGGGGUAAUGGCCUACCAAGGCGACGAUCCAUAGCUGGUCUGAGAGGAUGAUCAGCCACAUUGGGACUGAGACACGGCCCAAACUCCUACGGGAGGCAGCAGUGGGGAAUAUUGGACAAUGGGCGAAAGCCUGAUCCAGCCAUGCCGCGUGAGUGAUGAAGGCCCUAGGGUUGUAAAGCUCUUUCAACGGUGAAGAUAAUGACGGUAACCGUAGAAGAAGCCCCGGCUAACUUCGUGCCAGCCGCCGCGGUAAU